CUUAGACCAUGGCGACCCAGGCGAAGCGUCCACGGGUGAGUGGCGGGCGCGGGGUCCAGCCUUUUCCUCCGCGCCUCACCCCUUCUCCGUUCGCAGAACCGUCCGCCUGCGCCCCCUCCGCUCCCUCCCGCGGGUCCCGCGCCCCUCUCCGCUCGUCCCCUCCUCCACCCAAAGCCCGUUCUGCGCUCGCGCCGCGGUCUCCUGCAGUUCCCAGCGGCCUCUCUGGGGGUCGGACCUGGUCACUGCGCGCACUUAUCUCAGGUGGCGGGGCCCGUGGACGGCGGCGACCCGGAUCCUGUGGCCUGCUUCCUGAGCUGGUGCCGGCGGGUGGGGCUGGAGCUGAGUCCCAAGGUGAGCGAGCGAGCCGGCGGGCGGAGGACCCGCGGCGGGGCGCGGGCUGCCCUGACCAGCCCUCCUCCUGCUCAGGUGGCGGUCAGCCGGCAGGGCACGGUGGCCGGCUACGGCAUGGUGGCCCGGGAGAGCGUGCAGGCCGGAGAGCUGCUGUUCGUGGUGCCGCGGGCCGCGCUCCUGUCGCAGCACACCUGCUCCAUCCGCGGCCUGCUGGAGCGAGAGCGAGUUGCGCUGCA
rnacentral:sRNA from 1 species